UACGAAGGGGGCUAGCGUUGUUCGGAAUUACUGGGCGUAAAGCGCACGUAGGCGGACUUUUAAGUCAGGGGUGAAAUCCCGGGGCUCAACCUCGGAACUGCCUUUGAUACUGGAAGUCUUGAGUAUGGAAGAGGUAAGUGGAAUUGCGAGUGUAGAGGUGAAAUUCGUAGAUAUUCGCAGGAACACCAGUGGCGAAGGCGGCUUACUGGUCCAUUCUGACGCUGAGGUGCGAAAGCGUGGGGAGCGAACAGG
rnacentral:rRNA from 1 species